rnacentral:misc_RNA from 1 species
GAUGAAGAACGUAGCGAAAUGCGAUAAGUAGUGUGAAUUGCAGAAUUCAGUGAAUCAUCGAAUCUUUGAAUGCACAUUGCGGCCAUAGGUAUUCCUUUGGCCAUGCCUGUUCGAGCGUCAUUUACACCCUCAAGCCUAGCUUGGUGUUGGGCGCCUGUCCCGCCGUUUUCGCGCGCGGACUCGCCUCAAAGUCAUUGGCGGCGGUCGUGCCGGCCCCCUCGCGCAGCACAUUUGCGCUUCUCGGAGGCCCGGCGGAUCCGCGCUCCAGCAAGACCUUUCACGACUUGACCUCGGAUCAGGUAGGGAUACCCGCUGAACUUAAGCAUAUCAAUAAGCUGAGGA